GACGUAGGGCGCGAGCGUUGUCCGGAUUUAUUGGGCGUAAAGAGCUCGUAGGCGGUUCGUCGCGUCGGCUGUGAAAUCCCGAGGCUCAACCUCGGGUCUGCAGUCGAUACGGGCGGACUGGAGUUCGGCAGGGGAGACUGGAAUUCCUGGUGUAGCGGUGGAAUGCGCAGAUAUCAGGAAGAACACCGGUGGCGGAAGGCGGCUCUCUGGGCCUUACCUGACGCUGAGGAGCGAAAGCGUGGGUAGCGAACAGG
rnacentral:rRNA from 1 species